AGAAGCGGGGCAAGCCACUGAUAUUUCAAAGGAGGUGGGAGGCAGAGGGCUGAUGGAUCAGUGAAUUUGCAGCUGACGCUAGGCCUUGAGACCUAUGGGAUCAUUGUGUGCUGCAGCGAGGCCCUGCCGGCCUCUCCAGAUGUGGUGAGCCCAUCCUAUCUCAGUGGGAGGGGGCCAGAAUCGGAUCUCAACGGGAGUCCGGAGAACACAGCAGGCGUCCUGAAGCUCCCCCUCCCUCGGUGGAAGUCGGCUCAAGCAGAUCCUGAGGACAGGACCCCUGGGGGUUUGGGCCUGGGACAGGACGAGACACCCGCGGCCCCCUCUCCCACGCCGCCCCAAACAGGACCCAGGAUCCAGCCGCCGCCGCGGCGGCAGCGAUAUUUAAAGGGGACGCAGCCUAUCUGUCAGGAGCGGAGCGCGAGUCGGCUCAGCCAAUGCGCAUGCGCGAGGCGCGAGCGGUUUCUCCCGUCACAGUGGUUCCCACGGUUGUCUUAGAAACCAGACCCCGAGGCUUGGCAGAGCAGGAGCCCUCGGUGGCAGUGCUUGGGUGUCGAGGCUCUGAGGCUCCGGCCUCACCUCUCCACGGGGUCGAAGGGAACGUCUCCGGAUGCCAGGAGUCGCAAAGGGCCGACCAUGAUGAUGAAACCCCAGGCAGAGACGGGGGAAGCAGCACGGGAUCCCAGCCUCAGGCCUGCACGGACGGUGUUGGUUGGGAGACGAGGUCUCACUAUAUUGACCAGGCUGGUCUUGAACUCCUGGCCUUAAGCGAUCCUCCUGCCUUGGCCUCCCAAAGUGCUGGAGUUACAGAUGUGAGCCUCUGUGCUCAGUCCAUCCUUGGCUGUUCAAGUGUAGAGGUAAGUAGUAGAUGCCAAGUUUACCUCCAGGUAAGAAGGGGCAGAUGCCCCAGGGCAGAAUCAUAACCAUAAUCAGGCCUCCCACUGCAUGAGACAUUAUGUUCUGAAGCUUAAACCUGGACAAAGGUCUGACCAGUAGCACUGUGUUCAUGAAUGUCAGGUCAAAAAUUUAAAACUGGGACUAUCCAGAAGAACCUGGUAGAUGCAGGUGCAGUCCACAGUCCAAUGGUCAGCCUUGAUAACAGGCCACCUGUACUUUCUCUUUAUCAUGGAGUCCUUGAUGUAAAAAUUGAUGACACUUUCUUGCUUCUGGUGUGCUUCCCUUUCUUCUUCAUUUUCCAUAAGUAGUUUCCUCCAUCCCGCCUCCCAACAGGCCACAGUCAAUUCAGGACAUUUUAACCAUGAAAAUGAGUCUCCAUAACACGAAUUUAGAGGCCAGACAGGGUGGAUCACGCCUGUAAUCCCAGCAC
rnacentral:lncRNA from 1 species